rnacentral:rRNA from 1 species
GUCUACAGCCAUGCCACCCUGAACAAGCCUGAUCCCGUCUGAUCUUGGAAGCUAAGCAGGUUUGGGCCUGGUUAGUAUUUGGAUGAGAGACCACCUAGAAAGACCAGGUGCUGUAGGCA